AAACUCAUGAAGGGAAUAGUGAAUGAGGGUGUAAAGUGUGUAAGGCGGAACGGAGUGGACUGAUUAAUGCCGCGGGAAGGUGGAGGACAGAGCGGGAAGGACUAACGCGGCGGGAAGGUGGAACUCUAGUCACAGCGUUUUGGGGAAUUGGAGGAACGAAUCUACAGAGUGAACUGGAUGAGGAUUGGACAGCAGCUGAGCACCCCUAUCAUCUAUGCAGCAGUUUUGGAGAUUUAAGUUCUAGAAUAGUAGAAGAUGCCGGCUGUGACCAUGAGCGAGAGCUAUAUUCACUGUGUGUCUGCUGUGGACUGCAGUGCUUAGUGUGAAGUGAACACUGGUGAUUCUUUGAAGUAACUGAUUGCAUGCACAAGUGUGGGGGUUUAAUUUGGCUGUCGGCUCCGAAGAGAAGCCGCUGUGUGAGGACCUCAUACCAUUGUCUGUCCCAUUAUCUGCUGUCAUACUCUGAAGAUAAGCUGCUGUGUGAGUCUUCUACCACAGGUUGUUCUAUUACCUGCUGCUGUCUGCUCUGAAGAAAGGCCACUGGGUGAAGCUGUCUUACCAUUGUCUGUUCCACUAUCUGCCAUCCGUUCUGAAGGUCCGCUCUGAAGGUAUUGGCCAUUGGCUGUCCCGAAGAGGAAUCGUUACUUACCAACGACUGCUUGGAAAUGAAUUGCUGAGUCGAGAUCUUGUAGCCCUAUCUGUGCUGUUAUCUGCUCUGUGGAAGGAUUGAGUUGGCUUCCCAUUCUGUUAUCUCUUGGGUUGGGACCAUUGUACCAAGAGCCCCCACCGCUGCUGGACCGAGGGGAACAGAGUUGGAACUCUUCCAUCACGUGUUUAAGUAUUUAGGAUCUUAACUUGAUAAAACUGAACGUUUAUACUUACCUUGCUGUCCAUCGGUGCUGUCUCUGGGUAAACUCCUCGAGGUGGUACGUUUGGUAGGGGCCCGUUCCGGCCUGUGACAACUCUCUCAAUGGGAGGAAGCCAUGCCCUAUUUUGGAGGUCCCACCCCAUUUGAGUUCCCGCCCCUUUUGGAGUUCUCCAGGCUGCAGUUAUACCCUGCUCGCUAAAUUUGUCCCUUUCACCCGAAAUCUCAGAUAUGAUUGUAGGUUUUGCAAGUUCAACAUGGGUUAUAGGUCAAAAGUUGAAUGAACGAGUACUUAUGUCCUUUCGAUUUCCUACAGGUUGAGUUGUUGUUGCCCAUAACACACUAGCAUUCUGCUAAUGAGCGCUAAUUGGUCAGUGAAGGAAUGAUUAUGACCAGAGAUACCGCUUGAUGGCUUCAGAAUCAGCGGGAUCAGAAUGUUAAGGCGGACUUUUUCGCCCAAGUUUUUCUUUUCAACGCAGCAACUUUUUUUUUUUUUUUUUUGUUGCUGGCAAUUUUAUCUGUCUAUUGUUAUACAUGUACUUUGAAAUUUACAUGGAAAAUAAAUUGAAUUUGAGUACUUCUUGUGUUAAGAAAUACCGGAUACAUAUGGUAUAGUAUCGCCACCUUAAACACAACUGUCAUGCUCAAUAGUGCUAAAUAUCAAUUAAAAACUGAAAAAGAAAAAAAAAGAAAAAUGCCUCACAGGUGUGCAAUGAUAAAUUGUUCUAAUAGCGGGCAAGGGUUUGUCCUAUUUCUCAUUUGCCAAGGACGAAAAAAGUUAACCCAUGUGGACUGUUAAUCGUCAAAGCCAACCUGAAUUUACAGUGGUUCACGUGGGAGGGAAAGUUGGCCAAAUGUCAAGUUGGCUAAUGUCCAAAAUCAGAGCACGAAAGCAUCAGAGCGAUUAAAUAAUUUUUCAACGGCUCUGGAAAGCACCAUAGACAUUCUCUGAAAGCACCAAACUGACUGAAGGAUUGCCAUAAAGCAGUAUCUCUGGUCUUACAAUGUGUAUGACGUCAUUGACAUUUUAAAAGACUUUUUAAAGCAAAUAAGUUUCUCUAAAAAAAUCAAGCACCCAGCAAUGUGUGAUUUCUUUGCAUCUCCUUUCGAAUACAACAUUCAAAUUACUAGACAAAAAAAAAAAAAAAAAAAAAA